rnacentral:rRNA from 1 species
UACAGAGGGGGCAAGCGUUGUUCGGAAUUACUGGGCGUAAAGGGCGCGUAGGCGGCCUUCUAAGUCGAACGUGAAAUCCCCGGGCUCAACCCGGGAACUGCGUCCGAUACUGGAAGGCUUGAAUCCGGGAGAGGGAUGUGGAAUUCCAGGUGUAGCGGUGAAAUGCGUAGAUAUCCUAAGGAACACCGGUGGCGAAAGCGGCUCACUGGAUCUCUUCUGACGCUGAGGCACGAAAGCUAGGGUAGCGAACGGG